rnacentral:rRNA from 1 species
GACGAACGCUGGCGGCGUGCUUAACACAUGCAAGUCGAACGGAAAGGCCCUGCUUUUGUGGGGUGCUCGAGUGGCGAACGGGUGAGUAAUACGUGAGUAACCUGCCCUUGACUUUGGGAUAACUUCAGGAAACUGGGGCUAAUACCGGAUAGGAGCUCCUGCUGCAUGGUGGGGGUUGGAAAGUUUCGGCGGUUGGGGAUGGACUCGCGGCUUAUCAGCUUGUUGGUGGGGUAGUGGCUUACCAAGGCUUUGACGGGUAGCCGGCCUGAGAGGGUGACCGGCCACAUUGGGACUGAGAUACGGCCCAGACUCCUACGGGAGGUAGCAGUGGGGAAUAUUGCACAAUGGGCGGAAGCCUGAUGCAGCAACGCCGCGUGCGGGAUGACGGCCUUCGGGUUGUAAACCGCUUUCGCCUGUGACGAAGCGUGAGUGACGGUAAUGGGUAAAGAAGCACCGGCUAACUACGUG